UGGGGAAUAUUGGACAAUGGGCGAAAGCCUGAUCCAGCCAUGCCGCGUGUGUGAAGAAGGUCUUCGGAUGGUAAAGCACUUUAAGUUGGGAGGAAGGGCAUUAACCUAAUACGUUAGUGUUUUGACGUUACCGACAGAAUAAGCACCGGCUAACUCUGUGCCAGCAGCCGCGGUAAUACAGAGGGUGCAAGCGUUAAUCGGAAUUACUGGGCGUAAAGCGCGCGUAGGUGGUUUGUUAAGUUGGAUGUGAAAUCCCCGGGCUCAACCUGGGAACUGCAUUCAAAACUGACUGACUAGAGUAUGGUAGAGGGUGGUGGAAUUUCCUGUGUAGCGGUGAAAUGCGUAGAUAUAGGAAGGAACACCAGUGGCGAAGGCGACCACCUGGACUAAUACUGACACUGAGGUGCGAAAGCGUGGGGAGCAAACA
rnacentral:rRNA from 1 species